rnacentral:sRNA from 1 species
GUUUUUGGUUUCUUAAGAGUUUUUCCAUUUAUAUCUGAGGAGGAGAUGUGAUCAUCACAUGGGAUAGUAUAAUUUAUACAGACCUUUUACAAAACGAAUUUCAAUUGUAAAAUGUCCUUGUUAUAAUGGGUUAAUCAUCCUGUUGUGUUUAUAUAGCCUUCUUACCAUAUACCCUACACUGUUAUUAAUCUUAGUUAUGUCUCCAAGCCAUGGUCUAGUGUUCUCCAGUGGGAAUUCUCACAAGAUGAUGCUGUCUAACUCCACACUGUAUCAUGAAAUACUAGAUACAUAGGUUGAACAAGCUCCCUGAGCUAUGUACAGGCUGUUGCUUCUGUAGUCACAUCCAUUUUCAUAGCCACCCUCACUUUAUUCAUAUUAAGAAAUUUUCUAUUUUCUUCAACUCUCAUGGUGAAACUCUUUUCAUCCUAUGUUUUCUUGUUCAGCAUUUUGAAGAACCAUUGUCAAGUUUAUUUCAGCAUCAGCAUGUCUCCCUCAUGAGAAAAUAUACAUGACUAUUUUUGACAGACACUGGACCUGUCUUCCUGUAGUGAUUCUUUCUGAGUCUCUGGGCUUUAAGAUGAAUUGCCCCUGUGCAUCAGAUGUUAGAUAUUUCUUGAACAGCUGAGGUCUGAACUCUAGGUCUUACCGAAAGGUUGCCACAGCAUUUCCCAUUGGCCAGUAUAGGUAAAUGGACCUGGAAGCAGAGCUGUUGUCUGUCCUGAAUAUGUCCACUUCAUCACCAAGCCACAGCCUCUUUUGAGUAUCACGGGGCCUUGGCAAACCACGUGUUGCUGUACUCCUCCCACCUCUUCUGACUCAAUAGUUUCCAUGUUGAAAAAAAUGAAUUCUCCUGAUAAAGAUCGCCACCUAGAAGAACAAAUAUUCAGUGGUUUAUUUCAGGAGUAAUUUCAAGUUGUCUCACUGAGUUCAGAUCUCUUGUACUGAGUUCAGUUCCUAGCAAUGAUAUGAAGAAAGUAACUGUCUCCCUUGACUUGUGCUGUGACUCCACAUGUCCUAUGAGCACAGGUAUGGUUCCAUGCUCAUUUUUCCAAAUAAAUACAUAGAAAUUAAAUAGAGUAAAAUACAGUUUUCAGUAUUUCAACUUCUCAAAUUACUCCAAAAUUUGAAAUUAGGUAAUUUGUAAAAACAUAACAAAAUGCAAAAUUGAUACAAGUGAAGGCAGAGCAAGAGGGGAAGGAAUGGAGGGGAUAAAUAACUUCAUCGUAAGUUAUAAAUUCAAAAUGGUAUGCAAAGUAAACAGCUUAGUUCAGCAGUAUAGAAAACAAUUCUAAGGUAGAAAAUUCAAUGCCUAGAGAAAAAUGUAUGAGUUAAUAACUGUCAUUUGGGGCCUUUAAUUAGUGAGGAUAUCUGCCUGUAUAACAGUGUGGUCUAGCAUUUUUGAUAUUAUUGAAAAAAUAUGAAUAUUAAGGUUGUCUUUAAUUUUCCCUCCUUUGUUGUUUUCAAAUGUUAAUGUAAAAUUAACAUAUUAUGAUGAGGUCUAAGAAUA